rnacentral:rRNA from 1 species
UACGUAGGACGCGAGCGUUAUCCGGAUUUACUGGGCGUAAAGCGUCUGUAGGCGGAUGAGUAAGUUGGAUGUGAAAGCUUCGGGCUUAACCCGGAGAGGCCAUUCAAUACUGCUCAACUAGAGGGCGUGAGAGGGGAGCGGAAUUUCCGGUGUAGCGGUAAAAUGCGCAGAUAUCGGGAGGAACACCAGUGGCGCAGGCGGCUCCCUGGUACGCACCUGACGCUGAGAGACGAAAGCUAGGGGAGCGAACAGGAUUAGAUACCCCUGUAGUCC